rnacentral:rRNA from 1 species
AUUAAACGCUGGCGGCAUGCCUUACACAUGCAAGUCGAACGGCACGCACGGGGGUCAACCCUGGUGGCGAGUGGCGAACGGGUGAGUAAAGCAUCGGAACGUGCCCUGGAGUGGGGGGAUAACGUAGCGAAAGUUACGCUAAUACCGCAUAUUCUGUGAGCAGGAAAGCAGGGGAUCGCAAGACCUUGCGCUCUGGGAGCGGCCGAUGUCGGAUUAGCUAGUUGGUGGGGUAAAGGCCUACCAAGGCGACGAUCCGUAGCGGGUCUGAGAGGAUGAUCCGCCACACUGGGACUGAGACACGG